AGUUUUAUAGUCAAUCAUGAUUUUAAAUUGCAAAUUUAAAGGUAGUAAAUUUACUUGAAACUU
rnacentral:tRNA from 1 species